GAGGAAGAAGUUCUGGACAGCCAGAAGGAUGAUUAUAUUCAUUUCAUACGGAACCAGGCUGAAGACGAAACUGACUCGAGGUGCCUUACACAUCAGUUAUUGAUGCUGUGGGAGCUCAGGUCCACCCUGGGGAAAACCUGUCCUGCAGCCUCACUUCUCGUGGUGCUGCCUGUAUGUAGCCCGAGCAGCAGAGUUCCCUCACAGAGAUGUCUCCUUACUCCAGGUUGAGCAGCUGGCAGGUUUGAAAGCUGAAGCUGCCUGUUGUGUUGGAGGGAGAGCUUUCCAGUGGGAGCGUGUGAAUGGUUUGGGCAGCUGCCAGUCUGAGGAUGUGAGAUGGCUGCGGUGUUGUGAGGAGGGAGCUGGAGUGAUGGUGUGAAGGGUUGUGUUUGCUGGGAUGAUGUCUGGUGGGCAA